UCUUGUAUUAUUUUAAUUUUAGUUUCUUGUGUACAAUUUGGAAAUUAGUAUGGCGUUCAUUAUCACUGGACUAGUAUAUAUUGUUUAGGGGCCAGCUGAAGGACGCCUCCGGGUGCGGGAAUUUCUCGCUACAUUGAAGACCUGUUGGUGACCCUCUGCUGUUGUUUUUUAUUUGGUCGGGUUGUUGUCUCUUUGACACAUUCCCCAUUUCCAUUCUCAAUUUUACGUAUGUAUAUA
rnacentral:lncRNA from 1 species